ACCAGCUGUUACACCCUCGAACCCAUUACAUAGGCAGCAGGUUGUUGAUUCACUUAGUAGUCAUCCCACUGUACGGCCAAUGUCACAUCAACAACAAUCUCAUGCAUUUUCAUCCCAAGAGGUUCACCUUUCAAAGAAAGAGAAGAAGAAGAAGAAGAAGAAGAAGAAGAAGAAGAAGAACUAACAAGGUAAAAGUACUAACAUCACUAGUUUAAGCUGAUAAUAAUAUUCAUAAAUCAAUAGUGUUAAAGACAUGUUAGGCAAAUGCUUUUUUGAGUUGAGAAUGAUGUUAUUCAUAAAUCAUAUACAUUGUUUUUAAGUAUC